CCUACGGGAGGCAGCAGUGGGGGAUAUUGGACAAUGGGGGGAACCCUGAUCCAGCGACGCCGCGUGAGUGAAGAAGUAUUUCGGUAUGUAAAGCUCUGUCAGCAGGGAAGAAAGCAAUGACGGUACCUGACCAAGAAGCCCCGGCUAACUACGUGCCAGCAGCAGCGGUAAUACGUAGGGGGCAAGCGUUAUCCGGAAUUAAUGGGUGUAAAGGGAGCGUAGACGGCUGUGCAAGUCUGGAGUGAAAGGCGGGGGCCCAACCCCCGGACUGCUCUGGAAACUGGAUGGCUGGAGUGCAGGGGAGGUAAGCGGAAUUCCUAGUGUAGCGGUGAAAUGCGUAGAUAUUAGGAGGAACACCAGUGGCGAAGGCGGCUUACUGGACUGUAACUGACGUUGAGGCUCGAAAGCGUGGGGAGCAAACAGGAUUAGAUACCCCUGUAGUC
rnacentral:rRNA from 1 species